UGGGGAAAUAUUGCACAAUGGGCGCAAGCCUGAUGCAGCAACGCCGCGUGAGGGACGACGGCCUUCGGGUUGUAAACCUCUUUUAGUAGGGAAGAAGCGAAAGUGACGGUACCUGCAGAAAAAGCACCGGCUAACUACGUGCCAGCAGCCGCGGUAAUACGUAGGGUGCGAGCGUUGUCCGGAAUUAUUGGGCGUAAAGAGCUCGUAGGCGGUCUGUCGCGUCUGCUGUGAAAACCCCGAGGCUCGACCUCGGGCCUGCAGUGGGUACGGGCAGACUAGAGUGCGGUAGGGGAGAAUGGAAUUCCUGGUGUAGCGGUGGAAUGCGCAGAUAUCAGGAGGAACACCGAUGGCGAAGGCAGUUCUCUGGGCCGUAACUGACGCUGAGGAGCGAAAGCGUGGGGAGCGAACAGGAUUAGAUACCCUGGUAGUCCACGCCGUAAACGUUGGGCGCUAGAUGUGGGGACCAUUCCACGGUUUCCGUGUCGCAGCUAACGCAUUAAGCGCCCCGCCUGGGGCAGUACGGCCGCAAGGCUAAAACU
rnacentral:rRNA from 1 species